rnacentral:rRNA from 1 species
UACGUAGGGUGCAAGCGUUGUCCGGAAUUAUUGGGCGUAAAGAGCUCGUAGGCGGUCUGUCGCGUCUGCUGUGAAAACUCGGGGCUUAACCCCGGGCCUGCAGUGGGUACGGGCAGACUAGAGUGCGGUAGGGGAGACUGGAAUUCCUGGUGUAGCGGUGAAAUGCGUAGAUAUCAGGAGGAAUACCGGUGGCGAAAGCGACUCUCUGGACGGCAACUGACGCUGAGGCACGAAAGCGUGGGGAGCAAACAGG